UAACGCGUGGGUAACCUGCCUUAUACGGGGGGAUAACAGUCAGAAAUGGCUGCUAAUACCGCAUAAGCGCACAGAGCUGCAUGGCUCAGUGUGAAAAACUCCGGUGGUAUAAGAUGGACCCGCGUUGGAUUAGCUUGUUGGUGGGGUAACGGCCCACCAAGGCGACGAUCCAUAGCCGGCCUGAGAGGGUGAACGGCCACAUUGGGACUGAGACACGGCCCAGACUCCUACGGGAGGCAGCAGUGGGGAAUAUUGCACAAUGGGGGAAACCCUGAUGCAGCGACGCCGCGUGAAGGAAGAAGUAUCUCGGUAUGUAAACUUCUAUCANCAGGGAAGAUAGUGACGGUACCUGACUAAGAAGCCCCGGCUAACUACGUGCCAGCAGCCGCGGUAAUACGUAGGGGGCAAGCGUUAUCCGGAUUUACUGGGUGUAAAGGGAGCGUAGGCGGUGUGGCAAGUCUGAUGUGAAAGGCAUGGGCUCAACCUGUGGACUGCAUUGGAAACUGUCAUACUUGAGUGCCGGAGGGGUAAGCGGAAUUCCUAGUGUAGCGGUGAAAUGCGUAGAUAUUAGGAGGAACACCAGUGGCGAAGGCGGCUUACUGGACGGUANCUGACGUUGAGGCUCGAAAGCGUGGGGAGCAAACAGGAUUAGAUACCCUGNUAGUNCCACGCCGUAAACGAUGAAUACUAGGUGU
rnacentral:rRNA from 1 species